GCCUCCGUAGCUCAGGGGAUAGAGCACCGCUCUCCUAAAGCGGGUGUCGGCAGUUCGAAUCUGCCCGGGGGCA
rfam:Streptomyces sp. CMAA 1322 contig17, whole genome shotgun sequence.